UAUUGGAAGAAAAGGAUUACGUGCCUUGCCUUUAUCAGAGCUUUACAAUAAUACCUCUGAUCAGUCAUGUCACUAGUAUAAUCUUUGUUUAAAUAAAGUUCUAAAAAAAAUCGGUAUUCCCUGUUUGAAUGUACAUAGUUCCUGGCUGAGUUACAAAGUCGUAUUUUCCUCAAUUUUGAAACGAAAUUUUCAUAAAUGUGUCGCUAGUGAUGUAGGUAUCGAUAGUCUAGGCUCGAUAGUCUUAUGUACACGUACACACGUGUUCAGAUUGUUUUUGUGUAUUCAUUGAUAUAAGCACAUAUGUGUAUCCAGUAGCGUGAUUUUUCUGUUUCCUUGCUUUUACAUCUUCAUCUCUUUAACUAGUGACAAUAGUAAAUGACGUGUAAGAAUUGUUUUUAGACACGUAAGACUUGCGUUUCAGUGACCAUGAGUACAAAUGAUUCUGAGCCAGUUGAAUACGAGCCUUCCCUUGAGAAUAUAAUAAAACAAGGAUCAUUACGAUGGAUAUUUGUCGGUGGUAAAGGUGGAGUUGGUAAAACUACGUGCAGUUGCUCUUUGGCUGUGCAAUUGUCGAAAGUGAGGGAAAAUGUACUCAUUAUAUCAACAGAUCCGGCACACAACAUAUCUGAUGCUUUUGAUCAGAAGUUUAGCAAAGUUCCGACAAAAGUGAAGGGUUUCGAUAAUCUGUUUGCAAUGGAAAUAGAUCCGAAUAUUGGUUUUGCUGAACUACCCGAAGAAUACUUUGAAAGUGAUGCGGUUUCAGAUGGAGAAGCAAUGAGAUUAAGUAGAAAUGUAAUGCAAGAAAUUAUGGGGGCAUUUCCUGGUAUUGAUGAAGCAAUGAGUUAUGCAGAAGUUAUGAAGCUUGUCAAAGGAAUGAACUUUUCUGUUGUUGUUUUUGAUACUGCACCAACUGGUCAUACUCUAAGGUUACUAUCAUUUCCACAAGUUGUUGAAAAGGGACUGGGAAAACUGAUGCGAUUAAAGAUGAAAAUUAGUCCUUUCAUUACACAGAUAAGCUCAUUGUUGGGUAUGACAGACUUCAAUGUAGAUUCAUUUUCUAAUAAAAUAGAGGAAAUGCUUACUGUUAUUAGACAAGUUAAUGAACAGUUCAGAAACCCGGAUCAAACAACAUUUGUUUGUGUAUGCAUAGCAGAGUUCUUGUCUUUGUAUGAAACAGAAAGACUUGUACAGGAACUUACAAAGUGUGAAAUAGAUACCCAUAAUAUCAUAGUGAAUCAGCUGCUAUUUCUGAAAGAAGGAGACGCACCUUGCAAGCUUUGUCUAGCUAGACAUAAAAUACAAGAUAAAUAUUUGGAACAAAUAAUGGAUUUGUAUGAAGAUUUUCAUAUAACACAGCUUCCUUUGUUAGAAAGAGAAGUUCGUGGAGUCAAACAAGUCAAAGAGUUUUCUGAAAAUCUGAUCAAGCCAUACAAACCUUAAUGUCUAUAAAGUUGAUAUUUAAUAAGAAUACAUAACAUUAUAUCUAAUCGAAAGCGUUUAUAAACUGACAAAAUCUUAUAUAUCGAAAAACUUGUAUAAAAGCGUACCUUACUUGCUGAUGCGACUACGGGAGGAGGCAAUGAAUUCGAAAAUAAAUACGGCCUGCUGCGUUGCCUUAACAAAGCAAUUAAUUCUUUUGUACCAGUUGUAUAACCACCUGCCGCUCCACCUAGAGCCUUACCCAGUGUAGAGUUAAUGAUAUCAAUGCUUCCUAACUGAUUAAAAUAAUCUUCUGUGCCUCUGUAAUUUAAUGACUUCAUAUAUGUAUUAAUACAAUUUAUAAUUAUAAAUUUUAUUAAUUAUUAAUAAUAUAAUUAUAAAUAGUGUAUAAAUUUUACUAUUUCGCUGUAGAGUUCUUAACUUGUAGUUACUAAAAUCUCUUUUUACACUGCAUAUUGUAAAUAAGUAACAUGGAAUUAGAGUACCACUAAUAUAAUUACCUUCCAUUUCUUCCAAAAAAUCCAGUAGCAUGACAGUCAUCCACGAAAGUGACAGCAUUGUACUUUUUUGCGAGUUCAAGUAUUUUUGGUAAUGGUGCAACAGUGCCAUCCAUGGAAAAGACUCCAUCGGUAGCGAUAAGACGUAAACGCGACGACGCACUUUCUUGUAGUUUAUUCUCUAAAUCUGUCAUGUCCCUAUGCUUAUACCUUCAGUAAAUAUAAUUUGUUAUUAUAGUCAUUAUUAAAAUAAUAUAUUUAUUUAAGUUUCUCACCUGUAUCUUUUUGCUUUACAUAAUCUGAUACCAUCAAUGAUAGAGGCAUGAUUCAAUUCAUCACUAAAUACUGCAUCUUCAGCUGUUAAUAAGGCUUCAAAGAGUCCUGCAUUUGCAUCCAAGCAAGAAGCAUAAAGAAUAGAAUCUUCCCUUCCAUGAAAUUGAGCAAUUUUUUUUUCUAAUUCUACAUGAAUUUCUUGAGUACCACAUAUGAAUCUUACAGAGCUUAAACCAGCUCCAUAUUUGUCUAAAGCAUCUUUUGCUGCUGAAAUGAUUUCUUUGUUGCUCUAAAUGAAGGAAAAGAUUAAUUAUAAUAUUAAACGAUUGAUUUGGAUGUUCGGAAUUUUGAAACUCACGGAUAGACCUAAAUAAUUAUUGGCGCAGAAAUUGAGAGCUUCUAUUCCAUUUGUUAGUAAAAUUCGAGUACGUUGAGGUGAAGCAAUAAUUCGUUCAUUUUUCCAUGUACCAGCUGCUCUUAUUGCUUCUAAUUCUGGUUUUAUGCACUGCACCAAGGAACUCAUGCUUUUUUGUAAUACCCAUCUUUUAUAAUUAAGUUUCAAACCUAUUGAUAUAAAAGUAUAAAAUGUUUAAAUGUGAAGUUUUUGAAAAAAAUACUUAAUCAUUUAAGUAAAAAUUAAAUGAAUACUUUUCUCAAAAAUAGAAUUCAUAUCUUGGGGAACUUUACUGUUUGUAUACCUGAAUCUAUACUGAGAAUACCCGAUCCUCACAAAGUGAAAGUAUAAACUAGUCAAACCUGUUUAGUAAUGUAAUGAUUUUCACACCUAGCUUAUUCUUA